rnacentral:lncRNA from 1 species
UAGAAAAUUUUGAAAUAUCUCCCAUUCAAUUAAACUACAUAUCAUAUUUCAACCAUCUGCUCCGCCGGAGAACCACCGUUAAACAACCACCAGACCACCGCCGGAAAACAAAUGAUUAGAAAUCUGCCUUUUCACUCUCAACGUAUCUUAUUGUCAUUUCCCCAUUUCACCACCACUUGUUCCGUUCGUCAGAAACGAUCUCAUGCUGUCCUCUUCGAUCUCUAUCUAUUUUUAUCAACCACUGUCGAACCACAUCUCAAACCACCAAAGCAUCGCUUUGAUCUCUGUACAGCCACUCGUUGCCGAUUUCGCCCUCCGCACCAUGUCUUCGUCACCAUAUCUUGUACACGAUGGCUGAUGCACCACCAGACCAAACGAUUGGCUCCAUCGUAACUUGUCUAGAUCUCCUUUCCCCAGAUCUGAAGAUAACCAUGAGACCUGGUUUCACCGGCCAACGUCACUGUCACCAUAGAAUCGCACUGACUUGGCUAUGAGGUUUAAGAUCUUACCGGAAAUCAUGGAGUCUUUGUUGUUUGUCGGCAUUAGAUCUGGUUUCUUAGGGCAUUACCACUUUCUUUUUUGACAACGAAUCUGAACAAAGCUAUGAAGAUGUACAUGGCUCAAAUGUUGUUUGAUACAUUAGUGUAGGAGGAGAAGAAAAAAUGACCGGAACUGAAUUAUCAGGCGAGUUUGUUUUUCAUUUUUUUGGCGUUUCCUUUACAUCUUUGCUAUGAUUUUACCUCAAAAGAUGAGGUUAUGGCUGUGAAUAAAGACUCAAUAAAAUACUCAUAAAAAUAUGUUACAUAAAUUGUUAAAACGUUUACUGUAACCACUCAAACAAUAAAAGUGAUUUUUUUUAGUCCCGAGUAUUAAUAUAAUUAUGAAAGCCUAUAAACUCUACAUGAUUUACUCAUACAAUAGAUAUGUCUACUUUUGUUUUUUUUUUUUUUUUUUUUUUUUUUUUUUUUUUUUUUUUUUUUUAAAAAAUACAUUUUUUUUUUGAAAAAAAUUGCAGUUUUUUUUAUNUUUUUUUUUUUUUUUUUUUUUUUUUUAUAUAUAUAUCUUAGAAAAAAUACCUAUUUAAUUUGGUUUAAGAUUUUAAAAAAGUUAUGUUUUUAAGAACGUUUUUUUUAUUCAAGUAGUAACAUAAUUCAAAAUUGUUUUUAGAAAAAACAUCAUAAAUGGUCCUUAUGGUUUUCCAAAAUUUGAAGUUUAGUACCUGUGGUUUAGAAACGUCAUAAAUGGUCCUUGUGCUUUUAAAACUUUUGGCGAUUGGUCCUUAUUGCUAACUCUAUUAACUUUUGUCCGUUAACUGAAGGGCGUUUUCGUCAUUUCACACCAUAGUGACCAUUUAUGAUUUUUUCAGUUAUUUUUUUAAUACCCAAAGACAAUCAAAAUCGCCACCAUGAUACCACUGUCCGCGACCAACAUCGAUUGCAUUUCACUGUCCGCCACCCUCUUUUCCUCUGGCAACCACCAUACUUCACCUUCGUCAUCAACUACAUGUGUUCUUAUUUCAAAUUCCAUAGUAAGUUAAACACCAUAAUCAUAUCAAACCAAACCAAACACUAACAUCAAACUUGUUUUCUAGAAAUUGAAAUCAAAAUCAAUUCUUAUUUUAAAAAAAUAAUAACCGAACACCAAAAUAAAAAACAACCAAACGCCAAACCAUGUCAUUCGAUAGCCUUAAAGAUCAUUUUUUGCUCUUAAGCAUUUCUUUUUCUCCUCUACUGAUAACCUAAAGAACAUUUUUCAUAUUUCUCGAAUUUUCUCCAAAAACAAGAUUUCGAAUCUAGGUUAAUUGCUUGAAGUCAAACCCAAUUGAGAGAGAGAGAGAGAGAGAGAGAGAGAGAGAGAGAGAGAGAGAGAGAGAGAGAGAGAGAGAGAGGUUUUUUUUUUAUAUNAGAGAGGAGGAGAGAGAGAGAGAGAGAGAGAGAGAGAAACCUGAAAGCAGACCCAAAACUCGCUAUUUCUUAAAAAAAUUUGGUUUGUGACUGGGAAUCAACCAUGGUAGAACAGAGAGGAUGGGGAGACCGAGGUAUUUUUGGGUUUCUUAAAUCAAUUUUUGUAAUGUCUUUUUUGCAUCUGGGUUAUGAUUUCUGCAAAAAAUAUAUAUAUAUCCGCAAAUAUUUGAUUCUUAGGUUGAAGAAGAAAAAAAAAUGUUUCCUGAAGAUUUUUGGCUUUCGAUUUCUGCAAAAACAAUAUCCUCAAAUCUUCGAUACAUUAGAUUUAUGUUCUUUUUGGUUUCGAUUUCCAAAAAAGAUUGCUCCGGUGAUGUUAGUUCUAGUGAGGGAGAUGGUAGGGAAGAUUGCUUCGGUGAUGGAGGUUUCGAUGAAGGAGAUAGUGGCGAGAUUUGAGAAGGCUAGGGAUUUAGGGAGUGAUAGUUGGAUAUUAGAGAGAGAGAGAGAGAGGGUGGGACCCCCUUUGCAUAUUAUUUUAUUUUAUUUAUUUUUUUAAAUAAGAGAAAACAUCAUAAAUGGUCCAUGUGGUAGUGAAAUGACGGAAAUGCCCUUCAGUUAACGGACAAAACUUAACGGAGUUAGCAAUAAUGAACAAUCGUCAAAAGUUUUGAAAACACAUGGACUAUAUAUGACGUUUCUAAACCACAGGCACUAAACUUCAGAUUUUGGGAAACCACAGGGACCAUUUAUGAUGUUUUUUCUUGUUUUUAAAUGAUAGCUUAUUUUAUUUCCUUAUUUUUAUUAGUUUAUUUUAGAUUUUUUUGAUCUUUUUAUCAUUAUUGCAUUGUAUAUUCUUUAUUUUCUUUAUUAUGGAUCAUACCGGGUGUUUUUUAUGUUGCAUGAGAUAUUUUGUAGGUUAUCGGUGCUUGUUGCGGUUGCAGGUUGAUUGGAGACGGGCUUAGUGGGCUCCCGAGGCAUUAUUGGGCUUGGCGGAAUCAAAGAAGAAGAAUUGGUCUUUGAAAGUUAUUGGCUUGGAUUAUUUGGGCUUGUGAAGAUGGAUCAUAAAUUUCUAAUUUUGGGCUUGGAAAAUCCAUUUUGUGGCUAAAUGAUGAUUGGUGGAUUCAAAUUACAUCAACAAGGAGGGGACCAAAUGAAUCUUUGGUAGUGGAAGGGUGGAGUGGUGGAAGGAAGGACCAAUAGCAUUACAGCAACAUUUGCGCGGGUGGAACUUUCGUAGCGUGGGUACCUGCGCAACUGCCCAAUUUGGGCAUUUUGGUCAUUUGGCACACCAUAACCUUUGAGGAUCAGAUCUAGAGGCUCAUUCACGGUUUUUCCACCAUUGGAGACCUGCAAAAGGCGAUUUGGAGAGCAAAAUACUCAAUUUCUUUCAUCUUUUCAAGUCUUAGGUAGAUUCUUGAUGCAAAUUAAUUAUUGUUCUUCUUACUUUGUUGCCAUGAGUGGCUAAUACUCUUAUUUGGUUGACUUUGGCUGAAAACCAAUGAAUGUUUGUGGGUUUUGAAGGAUUUACGUUGAUUAUCAA